rnacentral:lncRNA from 1 species
AUGGCAGUCCCAGGUUGCAACAAGGACAGUGUCAGAGCAGGCUGUAAAAAAUAUGGCUUCCUGGUCACCUGACUUUUGAAUGCUGCAACUUUCUCCAAGUAGACCCCAAAGGGACAUAGUUUUGGAUGUCAGCAGUGCAAACAGUGAAGAUUGAUGAAUAAAAUGAAGAAUGAAUAAAUUGCAAGCAUUACUGGAAAAAAAGAAUAAAUGAAGAGGAGAAGAAAAAGCAAAGAGAAAAGCAAUUUUUUUAAAAAAGGAAAAGGUCUUAUUCAUCCAGUUCCACUGAAAAGGACAUUUCAAAAGAAACAAAAAUAUCAGAACAAAGAAAAGAAAAAAAA